rnacentral:lncRNA from 1 species
UUUGUUUUGUUUUAAAUAACGCCAAUUCCCCUUCUGGCUGUUUGGCAGGAUGUGUUCCCGUUAUUAAAGGGGAUGGACAGCCCUAUUACCACACUUCUCAUCAAACGCAGUUUAAAGGUGAACACAGUCCACCUGCAAAGCCAAGUGAGAAGCACAAAUCUCGUAUUAAAUUUGGGGAUCCCAGAAGUAGUGGAUCUACGAGUGAGCAGAAGCAUGCCUACACUGCCCCAGACAAAAGGGAGCACAGAUUCUAUGACAAGGAACGUGCUGCCUUCCAGAUCCACCAUACAAACGUGCAGCCAGGGGAUGGUCUCACCAGGUUCUCCACCUCGAUGUCAGAGCUCUUUCCAGUACAUAAUCCAGAGCCUGUAGCUAUUGCCUGUCUGAGCAAAAACACUUCAUCCAUCCCCAGAGGUGAUGAAGACCCAGAGAGAAAUCAUGCACUGGCAAGAAUUACCACGACGCAGUUCUUCUACCCAGAGGUCUGUUCCCAUCCUUGCUGUGUGGGUGUUUACCUGAAGGACAGUCUCUCCGUUUUUAAGCACUUUCUUAGGCCUCUGUUGUCCAUUCUCCCCUUUCCAGUUGGCUGGCAACACGAGCUUCUGGGCUGCAUGGGGGUGUGA